UAGUGCCUACGGGGCGCAGCAGUGGGGAAUAUUGCACAAUGGGCGCAAGCCUGAUGCAGCGACGCCGCGUGCGGGAUGGAGGCCUUCGGGUUGUAAACCGCUUUUGUUCAAGGGCAAGGCACGGUCUUUGGCCGUGUUGAGUGGAUUGUUCGAAUAAGCACCGGCUAACUACGUGCCAGCAGCCGCGGUAAUACGUAGGGUGCAAGCGUUAUCCGGAUUUAUUGGGCGUAAAGGGCUCGUAGGCGGUUCGUCGCUUCCGGUGUGAAAGUCCAUCGCUUUACGGUUGAUCCGCGCCGGGUACGUGC
rnacentral:rRNA from 1 species